rnacentral:piRNA from 1 species
UAGCAUUAUGCCAAAUAAACAUGCAGU